rnacentral:rRNA from 1 species
GAUGAACGCUGGCGGCGUGCUUAACACAUGCAAGUCGAACGAUGAAGCUCAGCUUGCUGGGUGGAUUAGUGGCGAACGGGUGAGUAACACGUGAGUAACCUGCCCUUAACUCUGGGAUAAGCCUGGGAAACUAGGUCUAAUACCGGAUAGGAGCGCCUACCGCAUGGUGGGUGUUGGAAAGAUUUAUCGGUUUUGGAUGGACUCGCGGCCUAUCAGCUUGUUGGUGAGGUAAUGGCUCACCAAGGCGACGACGGGUAGCCGGCCUGAGAGGGUGACCGGCCACAAUGGGACUGAGACACGGCCCAGACUCCUACGGGAGGCAGCAGUGGGGAAUAUUGCACAAUGGGCGAAAGCCUGAUGCAGCGACGCCGCGUGAGGGAUGACGGCCUUCGGGUUGUAAACCUCUUUCAGUAGGGAAGAAGCGAAAGUGACGGUACCUGCAGAAGAAGCACCGGCUAACUACGUG